rnacentral:lncRNA from 10 species
CAAAGUGUUGGGAUUAUAGGCAUGAGCCACUGCACCCAGCCUGCAAUUUAAAACAAAAAUCAUUUCCUAUUUCUCAAUAGUUCAGACAUUAUUUGGUAUCUGUUAUGUCUGUUGCAUGUCCUGCUUUAUCUGAGAAUGUUUCACUUGGAGAAGGAAGCCUUUCUGAUCUCCCUCAACCAUCCAGACUAUGUCAGUGCUACAUACUCUCCUGGCUUCUAUUACUUUUCCUUUCAAGCACACAUCUCAGUUGUUAUUAAAUUGUGUACUUUGUGGUCAUUUCCUGUCUCCACUACUGGAAUGCAAACUUACUGCCAAUGGGUGCAGCACAGCUCAUAGUAGGCACUCAGCAAAUACUUGUCAAAUGAUGGAAUCUGCAAAAACUAAAGAUAAUAAACCAGUGUCAGUACCAAAGAAAGAAUAAGCCAUUGUUUUAGCUCAGGAAAGGAGUAUAGAAUGUACCAUGUGAUUCCUUGAUCUCCACAAUGCAACUCUUCACUUUACUAAUUAAUUCCCAAGGCCACACUCUAUACCUUGCACCCAGAACUGCUCUCAGGAAUCUCUUACAUCCCUUUCUCUGAUCAUAUCAUCCAAUUAUUCCACAUCUGCUGCUCACACUCAUACUUGCUCUCCCACUUCAUGGAGACUUCUGAGCUUGGAUUCUUCCAUUUUCUCUGAAUCUAGCUCUUCAACUAGAGCUAUCCCCGCCCUGGCUACCCAAGUGUCAUGCUUGUGUAUA